UCAUAGUGAUUACGUCGUUAGUCCGCAAGUAAACAAUUCCCUUUUCUAAAAGUUUCAAAUGUGUUUCAUAAACGAAUAAUCAUAGAAUCGAUAAUUUAAGUACUUCUAAAACAAAGGACUGUAACUUCUGGCGACAUGAAGGCAUUUUUCAGGAAAAUAUGGCAUUAGUUAUGUACUUUUGGAGGGAUAAUGCGAUCCAAUAUGGCGGCGAUUGGUGUUGUGCGUUCGUGAAUGUCAGGGUGAAAACCGGUGCAUAAUACACGAAUAAUUGUGGUUAAAAUCACGGAUAUACGUGAUCAUUAGAUCGGUAGGAAUAUUACUGGCACUAAUAGCAGAUAGCUCUAAAAUAGAGCAAAAUGUCGAAAACAGACGAAAAUGCGGACACUGGAGAUACAGGAGAUAAUUCAAAUGGUUCAUCGGCGGAGACCACGUCGUCCCGUGGUGGUGACUUUGAAACGAAGCUUGAAACUGAUCGAAGUAAACGAUUCGAUUAUUUACUGAAACAAACUGAGAUAUUCUCCCAUUUUAUGACAAACAAUCAGAAGGACAAAGCUGGAAGUCCUUUAAAAAUCAAGGCUGGCAGACCCAGGAAGCAACCAGAAAUUCAAGUGAAAACUGAUUCUGGUGAUCACAGGCAUCGUAAAACAGAACAAGAAGAAGAUGAGGAAUUAUUAGCCGAAAGUAAUGCCAAUGUAGCACCUACCACACGCUUUGAAUCUUCACCACAUUACAUCAAAUCUGGUGAGUUACGAGACUAUCAAAUACGUGGUUUAAAUUGGAUGAUAUCUUUGUAUGAACAUGGUAUCAAUGGUAUUUUGGCGGACGAGAUGGGUCUUGGUAAAACUUUACAGACUAUUUCGCUACUUGGAUAUAUGAAACACUUCAGAAACAUUCCUGGGCCUCACAUAGUUAUCGUUCCAAAGUCUACUCUAGCUAAUUGGAUGAAUGAGUUCAAAAAAUGGUGUCCUACAUUAAGAGCAGUGUGCCUCAUAGGAGAUGCGGAAACUAGAAACACUUUUAUUAGAGAUGUUAUGAUGCCUGGGGAAUGGGACGUUUGUGUGACAUCCUAUGAAAUGGUAAUAAAGGAGAAGUCAGUAUUUAAGAAGUUUAAUUGGCGUUACAUGGUAAUCGAUGAAGCGCAUAGAAUAAAGAAUGAGAAAUCAAAGUUGUCAGAGAUUCUGAGAGAAUUUAAAACAGCCAAUCGCCUUCUGUUAACUGGAACACCCCUACAGAAUAAUCUUCAUGAAUUGUGGUCAUUGCUCAAUUUUCUAUUACCAGAUGUAUUUAAUAGCUCAGACGACUUUGACUCUUGGUUUAAUACUAAUAGUUUCUUAGGUGAUAAUUCAUUAGUUGAGAGACUACAUGCUGUUCUUCGACCAUUCCUCUUAAGACGCUUAAAAUCUGAAGUAGAAAAAGGACUAAAACCAAAAAAAGAGAUCAAGGUGUACAUUGGUCUUAGUAAAAUGCAAAGAGAGUGGUACACAAAAGUGCUAAUGAAAGACAUAGACAUUGUAAAUGGAGCUGGAAAGAUAGAGAAAAUGCGAUUGCAGAACAUUUUGAUGCAAUUGCGUAAAUGUUGCAAUCAUCCAUAUUUGUUUGAUGGUGCAGAACCUGGGCCUCCUUAUACCACUGAUGAGCAUCUUGUUUACAAUUGCGGUAAAAUGGUAAUCUUGGACAAGUUGCUACCAAAAUUGCAGCAACAGGAAUCGCGAGUUCUCAUAUUUAGUCAAAUGACAAGAAUGUUGGACAUUUUAGAAGAUUACUGCCAUUGGAGGUGUUUUCAAUAUUGUCGUUUAGACGGUAACACAGCACACGAGGACAGACAGCGUCAGAUCAAUGAAUACAAUGCACCUGGAAGUGAAAAAUUCAUUUUCAUGCUGUCAACUCGUGCUGGUGGUUUAGGUAUUAAUUUAGCAACGGCAGAUGUAGUUAUUAUUUAUGAUUCUGAUUGGAAUCCACAGAUGGAUUUACAGGCGAUGGACCGAGCUCAUCGUAUAGGUCAACAGAAGCAAGUCCGUGUAUUCAGGUUUAUCACAGAAAAUACUGUAGAAGAAAAGAUUGUCGAGCGUGCGGAAGUUAAGCUGCGGUUAGAUAAAUUAGUUAUACAACAGGGACGAUUAGUCGACGCCAAACAAACAGCAUUGAAUAAAGAUGAAAUGUUGAACAUGAUCAGGCAUGGUGCAAACGAAGUGUUUGCGUCUAAAGACAGUGCCAUUACGGACGAAGAUAUCGACACUAUUUUACAGAAGGGUGAAGCAAAGACGGAAGAAAUGAAACAGAAGCUGGAAAGCUUGGGUGAAUCUUCACUUCGUAAUUUCACGGUAGACGCACCGACAGAUUCAGUGUACCAGUUCGAGGGCGAGGAUUAUCGAGAAAAGCAAAAGAUUCUUGGGCUCGGUAACUGGAUAGAACCGCCCAAGCGAGAACGUAAAGCCAAUUAUGCGGUUGACGCUUAUUUCAGGGAAGCUCUCAGGGUAUCGGAACCAAAAGCUCCGAAAGCUCCCAGGCCCCCAAAACAACCCAUCGUUCAAGACUUUCAAUUCUUUCCUCCGCGGUUAUUCGAGUUACUCGACCAAGAAAUUUAUUACUUCCGUCAAACCGUAGGCUAUAAAGUUCCAAAGAAUCCUGAAUUGGGAUCCGACGCUGCCAGAAUUCAAAAAGAAGAGCAACGCAAGAUAGACGAGGCGCAACCAUUGACCGACGAAGAAGUCGUCGAGAAAGAGAAACUGCUCACGCAAGGCUUCACGAAUUGGACCAAAAGGGACUUUAAUCAGUUCAUAAAAGCGAACGAGAAAUACGGCCGUGACGAUAUUGAGAACAUCGCCAAGGAAGUGGAAGGAAAAACGCCGGAAGAAGUUAUGGAGUACUCGGCAGUAUUCUGGGAACGCUGUCACGAGUUACAGGACAUCGAUAGAGUUAUGGCUCAAAUCGAGCGUGGCGAAGCGAAGAUACAAAGACGAGCCGGUAUUAAAAAGGCCCUCGACGCAAAGAUGGCGAGAUACCGGGCUCCGUUCCAUCAAUUGAGGAUAGCAUAUGGCACCAACAAGGGGAAGAACUAUACCGAAGAAGAAGAUCGGUUUCUUGUUUGUAUGUUACACAAGCUGGGCUUUGACAAGGAGAACGUGUACGAAGAGCUUCGAGCCACGGUCAGGUCGGCGCCUCAAUUUCGUUUCGAUUGGUUCGUCAAAUCUCGUACAGCCCUAGAAUUGCAACGACGUUGCAAUACGCUGAUCACUUUAAUAGAACGCGAGAAUCAAGAGCUCGAAGAACGGGAGAGGCAAGAGAGGCGAAAGAAGGGCGGCAGCAUAGGCGCGAAACCGGCUUCGAAACGAAAACAAGAGAAUCUUCCGGCGCCUCAGGACAAACCACGAAAAAAGAAGAAAUAAGGACUAAAUUGCGAAUCAUUCUGACUGAUCUUUCAGAGAGCACGGACUUGAUUGCAACAGGAACUCUCUCUUUCUCUCUCUCUCUCUCUCUCUCACACACUCUCUUUCAAGUACUUUCCCAUUGGUCAUUCUUCUUCCAAUUGUUAAUGGUAUACAUCAUUGAAUGAGUUGAAGUGAACAGUAUUCGUCGCAACUUCGCUCCUUGCCUCAUUCCCAUCGAAUUUUGUUUUCUCAGUAUAGUUACGUUCCACACGAUUAUUCUUCUCGCUUUCUUUUAACGAUAAUCACAGCAAGGUUUCGCGAAACACGAGUUAAUAUUGAACAGAGGAAAAGCUUAUUUAUUAACACGAACGAGUACAACGGAAUGACAGUAACUUUGCAAAGGCUUGUAGGUAUAAUGUUGAAUGAUGUUAUUUUAUAUUCGUCGGGUGACCGGUUUCGCUUUGUAAACGAAUGUACUUUAAGAAUCAUCUCAAAACUAUGAAUUGAUAGUGAAAGACUGAAGAACGCUUGAUAACUUUGUACAGGUCUUUUUUUGUCACAGCAAGAUUAAUAAAUCUGAACUGGAAUUUAACGUGUAUUAGUUUUAGCAUGAUUCAUAUUUUCUACUGUAUUUUCCCCCAAUUUCGUGCAAUCUUUUAAGUACAUUUGCUGAUCUAAAAGGGCCACCCAGUAUACGUUUACGUCGAAGUAACGCCUUUUGGAACUGAUAAACCAAAGUGCGAUACUCUUUGAUAUACUUAAUCAUCACGGAAAUAUUAUGCUCGCUCGUCAUACGUAUGUACCGCGCACAGAUACCACAUGAACGUACCUUGAUUCAAUUUUACACGCGAAUACUUGUAAUGCAAUAUUACGUCAACGGUUUUAUUUAUUUCUUACAAUUUUUAAGGCAUUGUAAUUCGUUUUACGAAUAAAACACCAUAUGCCUCAUCACAUAUACUAUUUUGUUAGUAUAUUGGAUUAUAAUUAACAUAAAAUCAACUAGUCGUUUAAAAUCACUGGAAAAAUAUAUUUAAUAUUUUUUCAGUGAAUUUUGUUUUUUAUUUUUCAAUGUAGUUGUACGUUUUCUUCUUAAAUUUAAAGAACAAUUAAUUGAUUUUGUGUUAGUUAUGAAUUAUUACCCCCGUAUGGAAUUAAAAAGAAAUAAAGGAAAAAAUUCCAGAAGAGUAAUUAGUUUCAUGAUAUUGAUAAGUCUGCACUUUUUUUGUAUAGUUAUAUUUAUUGAAUUUUCGAAUCCUUAGCAACGAGCAAGGAAAAAAUAUAAAUCGGGAUAAUUGUUUCGGAAUCAAGUUUUCACGCAUAAUUAUUAAUAAUAAUUAUACAUAUAUUAUAUUAAAUAUAUAAAUAGCGAAUGUAUUACUCGCUCGUAACAAAUGAAAAACCGUUCGAUCAAAUUAAAUCGAGAAUGAAUAGCUUUUGACUGACAAUAGUAUUCGUGGUAUUCGCAAUUUUUAUAAGUCGCAGAGUCAUGCACAAACAAUAAAUAUUCGUUAUUACAUUGGUCAUACAUUUUCCAGGAGACUUCAUCCAUUUUCUACAAAAUCUUAAAAACAAAAAAAGAAAAAUUUCAUACACAUUGACACACAAGUCAUAAUAACUGUCCACCUCGUUUCAAUUACUCAUAAUUAGACAUGAUGCUUAUGCAAACAAAAUUAUAAAAUUGUAAUUUGAGCAUAAAUUUGUUUCAUCUUAAACAGAUUUUAAUGAAACAUAUUUUUAUUCUGUAUACUUUGCAAAUAACAUGUUUUUUAUACAUGCGUAUGUUUUGUAUACUUACUCAUACAAAUACACUGUGACUAUUUGUAUUUAACUUGUAGAUUUCUGCAUAUGUUUUAUAUGUUUUAUACAUUUUAUAUAAAAAUGUAUAACCUUCCCUUUAAUUCACUGCAAGUAUGGAUUAUUUUAGGUCUCAAUAAAUUAAAAAUAUAUGAAAUUCAUGAUGGUAUGUAAAAUAUACAAAAUACUUAGAAAUUUGCGAAAUAAACCAACAUAUGCGGAAUAUUAGAAUAUCCAAAAUAUAUUGGAAUAUGCAGGAUAACAUGAAAAUAUGCGAAAUAUGCUUCGUAAUAUACAAAGUACAUUGGAACGUACAUUGUUUAAUACAUAUUUCGUAUAUUCAGUAACGCCUUGUAUUCUGUAUAUAUCUUAUUUUUUGCUCAUUUAAAUAGUUUAUGCACGUUUUAUAUACUCUGUAGGUUUAUUUUUAUUUUAUUGUAUCCUACGUAUGUAUGUAUAUUUUCUAUUCAUUCUCCACUUACGAAAUGAAUGUUGUAUAUAUUUCGAUCAAUUUUAUGUAUGCUUGAAUAUAUAUGUAUAUAUUUAUUUUUAACUUUCAAUAUAUAAAAGUUAUUAAUCAAUUGUCAUGUGAAUAGUUUCUGUAUUAUAUUCACACCGUUUCCGCCUUUAAAAUUAAGAACUAACAACAAAUGAUGGAAGGAGUGUGAAUAUAUCCAGAAAUGUAGUUGUAUUUUUCAUUGACUGACCGAGACGAAUUCAACCGGAAAAGGAACAAAAGAAGAAUAUAGCGCUGCACAUAGAAGUUCAACACCCUGUCUGUAUUCCUCUACAAGCAAGAUAAGAGAGAAUCUAAGUGAAAGCUUUAAUUUGAAAUUAGAUGCCUCCAAGGGGGUGGAUCGGGGGGUGGAGGCAAAGGGACUGGUUACGGCCGGCAAUGGCUUCUUUUCCUACCGCCUUCGUUACCAUCUUCUUCUUCACCGCCUCGUCUAACUUCUGUAUACCGUUCACCCUUCACGCUUACAAUCUUGUUUUCAAGAUAGCGCACUAACUUUUUCGGUUCCGUUUUCGGAGCGACUGGGCGAUGCUCACGCGAGUCGUCGUCCCUGUCGACGUAACUAUAUCUUGCGAUGAUACGUGACUUUAGUUCCUCAUCGUUCAGUCUAGCCCUGUUGCGACCGUUCGGCUGCCACAAGAUAAUUACGUUAUUUUACGUCGUUUAACUAAUCAUUGAUAAUUAACCCCAUUGCUACUACGAGAUUCUAUAGGCUAGUUAGAAAAGGUCCGUUUACAGAGGGGUGUAUGAAUGUAAUGCAGCGUAGAUACGACAAAAAGGGUAUAGCUUUUAAAUUUGUUUCAGAAAAGGAAAUACUUUAUAUUAUUUUUAUGCGAAGUUACAAAUGACUCGAAAAAGAGAAUGUAUUAAGGAUAGCCAGAAUAACAAAUCAAAUCUUGUGUAAAAUCUAUUUUUCAUUAAUUAUAAACUAUAAAUUAAAGAGAAUAUUAAAUAUUCAAGUUUAAAUUGUAUCUGAUUAAAAAAUGGGGUCAAUGUCUUUUUUACAGAAGUUAUUCUAUUAUAAUUCAAAAAAAGUUUCCUUAAAAUGAUACAGUAAAAUACUUACUGUUACAAAUGUCAGGUUACUAGCAAUACUUUGUCCUGCUUCUUGACGAUGAAGAGCAAGCUGAGCAGCCUCUGUAAUAUCACCACCAGCUACAGCUAAGCAAUGUCUUAGCUCGGCUGGACUCGCAGCUGGAAACAUUUCUUGCAAUAGUGCUACUUGAUGCCAUGAUGAUUCCUA